UACAGAGGGUGCGAGCGUUAAUCGGAUUUACUGGGCGUAAAGCGUACGUAGGCGGUUAGAUAAGUCGGAUGUGAAAGCCCCGGGCUCAACCUGGGAAUUGCAUUCGAUACUGUCUGGCUUGAAUGUGGAAGAGGGAAGUGGAAUUCCAGGUGUAGCGGUGAAAUGCGUAGAUAUCUGGAGGAACAUCAGUGGCGAAGGCGACUUCCUGGUCCAACAUUGACGCUGAGGUACGAAAGCGUGGGGAGCAAACAGG
rnacentral:misc_RNA from 1 species